rnacentral:rRNA from 1 species
UACAGAGACUGCGAGCGUUAUUCGGAUUCACUGGGCGUAAAGGGUGCGCAGGCGGCCGAGUGUGUGAGGCGUGAAAGCCCGGGGCUUAACCCCGGAAUUGCACCUCAAACUACACGGCUAGAGCAUUGGAGAGGGUAGCAGAAUUCACGGUGUAGCAGUGAAAUGCGUAGAUAUCGUGAGGAAUACCAGAGGCGAAGGCGGCUACCUGGACAAUUGCUGACGCUCAGGCACGAAAGCGUGGGGAGCAAACAGG